GAUCAUGGCUCAGGAUGAACGCUAGCGGCAGGCUUAACACAUGCAAGUCGAGGGGCAGCGUGAUGAAGUAGCAAUACUGAUUUGACGGCGACCGGCGCACGGGUGCGUAACGCGUAUGUAACCUACCCUUAACAGGGGGAUAACACUGAGAAAUUGGUACUAAUACCCCAUAAUAGUUUAGAGGGCAUCCUCUGGAUUUGAAAGUUCCGGCGGUUAAGGAUGGUCUCGCGUCUGAUUAGCUAGUUGGUGAGGUAACGGCUCACCAAGGCGACGAUCAGUAGCCGGUCUGAGAGGUUGAUCGGCCGCAUUGGGACUGAGACACGGCCCAGACUCCUACGGGAGGCAGCAGUGGGGGAUAUUGCACAAUGGGGGAAACCCUGAUGCAGCGACGCCGCGUGAACGAUGAAGUAUUUCGGUAUGUAAAGUUCUAUCAGCAGGGAAGAUAAUGACGGUACCUGACUAAGAAGCACCGGCUAAAUACGUG
rnacentral:rRNA from 1 species